CCCUUUUUGGUUUUGCAGGCUCUAACCCUUUUUGGUUUUGCAGGCUCUAACCCUUUUUGGUUUUGCAGGCUCUAACCAUUUUUGUUUUGCAGGCUGCAUUUCUUUUCGAGUUGAAUUGGCAUGUAAUAUGAAACCGUUGUUAUAUCAAUGAAAGAAUCGUUGAAGUGUUGAAGGCUCUUAACCCUUUUUGUUUUUGCAGGCUCUAACCAUUUUUGGUUUUGCAAGCUCUAACCAUUUUUGGUUUUGCAAGCUCUAAUCAUUUUUGGUUUUGCAAUCUCUGGCCAUUUUUGUUUUGCAGGCUGCAUUUCUUUUCGAGUUGAAUUGGCAUGUAAUAUGAAACCGUUGAUAUAUCUAUGAAAGAAUCGUUGAAUUGUUGAAGGUUCCAACCAUUUUUGGUUUGCAGGCUCUAACACUUUUUGUUUUUGCAGGCUCUAACCCUUUUUGGUUUUGCAAGCUCUAACCGUUUUUGGUUUUGCAAGCUCUGACCAUUUUUGGUUUUGCAAUCUCUGACCAUUUUUGUUUUGCAGGCUGCAUUACUUUUCGAGUUGAAUUGGCAUGUAAUAUGGAACCGUUGAUAUAUCUAUGAAAGAAUCGUUGAAUUGUUGAUGAAGCACAGGUGGCACCGCUGGUCGUCUUAUAAAACUUAUGUUGGUACUUGAUUUUCAAUUCAGAUUUAGGUCAAAAAACUUUUCUCAAGAGUAGUCGCUUUGACAACUAAGGACAAAUCGUGGAUGAAACCGUUAAUUUAUUUGCAAUGGAAGUAAUGGAAUUGUUGACGAACACUAGCUACAUUGAUGGCCUUCUUUUGACGCAGACAAACUAGAGGCGAAGAAAUUGUUGAUGGAUCACAAUUAGCACUUAAACUAAUUUCCACUAUGGAGAAAUUACCAUCAACAUUGGAUGAGUUAUUUCGAUUAUAUUAUCAGAAUUUGAAUUAUUGAUAAAAAGGCACACUACUGCAUGGAUGAAAAUACAUUGAGAGCCAGAAGUGUGUGAAACUGGGAGUGACAUCAGAUCUACGAACUUCGUUUGGCGAAGACCGCAGCAGAUCGAACAUUUUGCGAGAAUGUCAGUGACCGUAACAAUCUAAAUGCGGUUUUCACUACGGCAUUCAAUUCCGAUUUUAACUGAACUCAACUCGAGGAACUAUAGACUUGAAACACUCAUCAGUCUCAACUCGUACACUACAAAACUCUGAAAAGUGUAAUCAGUGCCGCUUCCGAUCGAUUAGGAGACUCUUGGAUCAGGCUUCAAACGCUUCCAACGCUGGAAUUAAUAUGCGCAGACUACAAAUAAAUGCCGUCUAACUCAGAACGCAAUGCAUUUGGGCUAUUAACAGCGACUAUUGUAACAAAAUAUGUUGCCACACGUUUCAUGUCAUGGUAUGAUGCUAAACUGUGUGAACGUUUAUGGAAUGCUUAGGAAACAUGUUAUUAUCAGCUAAGGCCAAAUAAUUUUUCAUAUUAUCAAUAUUAUGUAAAUUUUAAUUUAAAGAUUUUGAAUCUGCCUGUUUUAUUUCUAAGCAGAGUGCAAGUACAGUUUGAAUUCUCGUCUAUUCUGUUCUUAAAGUUGCCGUGGGAUUGGGGUGGGCUUUAUACGUGGAUGCUGUUAAUCUGAAAUUUGCUUGCUUAUUCAAUAAAAUUUCCAGUAAGGUUUACAGCAAUUUUAUUUCCGUGGGUAUUUGGUUUUUUUUCGAAAUAAAGGUUCAAAAACAACUGCUAAAUUAUCCUAAUAAUCCUAUAUUUCAUUUCCUUCAGUUUGCAGCCAUACAAUCCGAUCAGUUAUUUCUUCUUAAAAUUGCAUCAGUAAUGUUUAUAUGAGCUUUGGAAGAAUUAUAUUUUUGUGCCAAUGUAGCCAAUGUCUAUAUAUUAUUUCAGAAGGUUUGUUGUCAAUAGUCUUACUGAAGAUCCUGUGAUAAUGGUAUACUUACAGACUUCGCAAUUUUUCAUUUGUGUGCUUAU